ensembl:lncRNA
UCCUUUAACCCUCUAUGGCAUGGUGUUGCCCUCAGGCAACAAACUACCUUUUUGGACCUCACACUGCCCCUUAAAUUUUUUUUUAUUAAAAAAAAAUGUAUAAUAUCACCUGACAUGUCUGUCCAAUCAAAUGAGGGACUAAAGUGGUUGUAGCCUUUUGUUUGGGGGUGGGGCAGUCCUUUCCGGAAGCAAAGUCACAUGGGACACAGUGCCACCAAUUGGGCAACACUGUGCAGUUAGACCACUUUUUUUUCGGGCAAUAUGCUAAAUUGGGGAGAUGUGAUCGGAUGCAAAAUUAGGACCACAUGGUGCAUUCAAGUCCUCCUGGGAAGCUCUGUGAAUGCAUCAUAUAUGUGAAAUGGACACAAGACAAUUUUACGGGCGGAAGGAACAUGAUCGAGCAGUUAGGGUCAUUCCUUCUGACAGUGAGGACAGUGAGCUUGUGGAGAGUGAAAAUGAGGACAGUGAGGUUGAGGAGAGUCAUGAAGACUGGAUCCCUGAAUCAGGUUUGAGAGACAGUUUGGAGGUCAGGGGUCAGUAAGGGGUCAGUCAGCAAAGUAUCAUGUGUGUGUGUGUGCGUACAUGUGUGUGUGUUUGUUUGCAUGCAUGUCAUUGUAUGAUGAAGGGUAUAUGACAAACAUGCUUCCUGCUGUCUUUUUUAGGAGAAUGCCUGUCUCUUGACAAUGACACAUAGUCA